rnacentral:rRNA from 1 species
CGACUGCACGAAGCUGGAAUCGCUAGUAAUCGCGGAUCAGCACGCCGCGGUGAAUACGUUCCCGGGCCUUGUACACACCGCCCGUCACACCAUGGAAGUCUGCAAUGCCCGAAGCCGGUGGCCUAACCACUUAUGUGGAAGGAGCCGUCUAAGGCAGGGCAGAUGACUGGGGUGAAGUCGUAACAAGGUAGC